rnacentral:rRNA from 1 species
AGAGUUUGAUCAUGGCUCAGAACGAACGCUGGCGGCGCGCCUAAUACAUGCAAGUCGAACGAGAAUGUGUAGCAAUACACAUGUACAGUGGCGAACGGGUGAGGAAUACAUGGGUAACCUACCCUCGAGUGGGGAAUAACUAGCCGAAAGGUUAGCUAAUACCGCGUACGCUUCCCGGACUGCGGUCUGGGAAGGAAAGCGAUACCGUGGGUAUCGCGCUCUUGGAUGGGCUCAUGCCCUAUCAGCUUGUUGGUGAGGUAACGGCUCACCAAGGCUUCGACGGGUAGCUGAUCUGAGAGGAUGAUCAGCCACACUGGCACUGCGACACGGGCCAGACUCCUACGGGAGGCAGCAGUAAGGAAUAUUGCGCAAUGGGCGAAAGCCUGACGCAGCGACGCCGCGUGGGGGAUGAAGGUCUUCGGAUUGUAAACCCCUUUCGGGAGGGAAGAUGGGAUGGGGUAACCCAUUCGGACGGUACCUCCAGAAGCAGCCACGGCUAACUUCGUGCCAGCAGCCGCGGUAAUACGAAGGUGGCAAGCGUUGUUCGGAUUUACUGGGCGUACAGGGAGCGUAGGCGGUUGGAUAAGCCCUCCGUGAAAUCUCCAGGCUUAACCUGGAAAGUGCAGAGGGGACUGUUCAGCUA